AAACCAACAGGGAUUGCCUUAGUAGCGGCGAGUGAAGCGGCAAAAGCUCAAAUUUGAAAUCUGGCACUUUCAGUGUCCGAGUUGUAAUUUGAAGAAGGUAUCUUUGGGUUUAGCUCUUGUCUAUGUUUCUUGGAACAGAACGUCACAGAGGGUGAGAAUCCCGUGCGAUGAGAUGUCUAAACCUAUGUAAAGUUCCUUCGAAGAGUCGAGUUGUUUGGGAAUGCAGCUCUAAGUGGGUGGUAAAUUCCAUCUAAAGCUAAAUAUUGGCGAGAGACCGAUAGCGAACAAGUACAGUGAUGGAAAGAUGAAAAGAACUUUGAAAAGAGAGUGAAAAAGUACGUGAAAUUGUUGAAAGGGAAGGGCUUGAGAUCAGACUUGGUAUUUUGUAUGUUGUUCUCUUCGGGGGGCGGCCUCUACAGUUUACCGGGCCAGCAUCAGUUUGAGCGGUAGGACAAUUGCAAAGGAAUGUGGCUUGGCUUCGGUUGAGUGUUAUAGCCUUUGUCGAUACUGCCAGCUUAGACUGAGGACUGCGGCUUCGGCCUAGGAUGCUGGCAUAAUGAUCUUAAGUCGC
rnacentral:rRNA from 1 species